rnacentral:rRNA from 1 species
GACGAACGCUGGCGGCGUGCCUAAUACAUGCAAGUCGAACGCACAGUUUAUACCGUAGCUUGCUACACCAUAGACUGUGAGUUGCGAACGGGUGAGUAACGCGUAGGUAACCUGCCUGGUAGCGGGGGAUAACUAUUGGAAACGAUAGCUAAUACCGCAUAAUAUUAAUUAUUGCAUGAUAAUUAAUUGAAAGGUUCAAUUUCACCACUACCAGAUGGACCUGAGUUGUAUUAGCUAGUAGGGGAGGUAACGGCUCACCUAGGCGACGAUACAUAGCCGACCUGAGAGGGUGAUCGGCCACACUGGGACUGAGACACGGCCCAGAAUCCUACGGGAGGCAGCAGUAGGGAAUCUUCGGCAAUGGACGAAAGUCUGACCGAGCACCGCCGCGUGAGUGAAGAAGGUUUUCGGAUCGUAAAGCUCCGUUGUAAGAGAAGAAAGGGUGUGAGAGUGGAAAGUUCACACUGUGACGGUAUCUUAACAGAAAGGGACGGCUAACUACGUG